rnacentral:rRNA from 1 species
UAGUAACGGCGAGUGAAGCGGUAACAGCUCAAAUUUGAAAUCUGGGUCUUUUAGGCUCCGAGUUGUAAUUUGUAGAAGAUGCUUUGGGUGCGGCCCCGGUCUAAGUUCCUUGGAACAGGACGUCAUAGAGGGUGAGAAUCCCGUAUGUGAUCGGUGGCUUGCGCCCGUGUAAAGCUCUUUCGACGAGUCGGGUUGUUUGGGAAUGCAGCUCUAAAUGGGUGGUAAAUUUCAUCUAAAGCUAAAUAUUGGCCAGAGACCGAUAGCGCACAAGUAGAGUGAUCGAAAGAUGAAAAGCACUUUGGAAAGAGAGUUAAACAGUACGUGAAAUUGUUGAAAGGGAAGCGCUUGCAACCAGACUUGCGCGGGGUUGAUCAUCCGGGGUUCUCCCCGGUGCACUCGGCCUCGCUCAGGCCAGCAUCGGUUUUGGUGGUUGGAUAAAGGCCUUGGGAAUGUGACUUCUUUCGGGGAGUGUUAUAGCCCUCGGUGCAAUGCAGCCUACCGGGACCGAGGACCGCGCUUCGGCUAGGAUGCUGGCGUAAUGGUUGUAAGCGACCCGUCUUGAAACACGGACCAAGGAGUCUAACAUCUAUGCGAGUGUUUGGGUGUCAAACCCAUACGCGUAAUGAAAGUGAACGGAGGUGAGAACCCUUAAGGGUGCAUCAUCGACCGAUCCUGAUGUCUUCGGAUGGAUUUGAGUAAGAGCAUAGCUGUUGGGACCCGAAAGAUGGUGAACUAUGCCUGAAUAGGGUGAAGCCAGAGGAAACUCUGGUGGAGGCUCGCAGCGGUUCUGACGUGCAAAUCGAUCGUCAAAUUUGGGCAU